AGAGUGUGUGUGUGUGUGUGUUGAACAGCUUGGGGAGGAUGUGCUGAGACUGGCCUGUGGAGCAGGUGCUGGAUGCUGUGUUUGGGCCAUUAGAGGGACCCAAGGGUUUCUGCCUCUUGUAAUCAAUUUAAUUGCCUUCUUUUGGCCACUCCUAUAAGCGUGAGCAGCGAACAGAGCCUUUCUUCACCCACCUUCAUCAGAGGAAGCUCUCAGAAUCAGUCUGAGGAAGCACAGCAGCACUUCAUCCCUGCCUGGGAUCAUCUGAAAAGAACUGAGGCGAUUCCACGUCUCAGGACAGCUUCUCCUGGAGGAAUCCUGAAAGCUGGAGGAGAACUGGAAGAUGGAGGUGCUUUUUGAAAGGGAACCUCUGAUGCUUCGCUUUCUCCGGACUUUCAGAGAACUGCUGAGAUUUGUUCUGUUCACGUACACAGUGUUAUUCGGUGCCUUGAUCCUGGCUGGAUGGACUACAUACUUUAUUGUUGCUAAAUAAACAACUGGCCCUCUUCCAAAUGACUGCCUUCAUUACCUCUCAUUUCAUCUCCAUUAAUGUACCCAUGUAAUUCCAGAGGACUUUGUGUUCAUUUCUGUUUAACUUUUCAAAUAUAACUGAUUUGCAUAUUAUAUAUUACGCUAUUAAUGCAA